AACGAACGCUGGCGGCAUGCCUAACACAUGCAAGUCGAACGAGACCUUCGGGUCUAGUGGCGCACGGGUUCGUAACGCGUGGGAACCUUCCCUUAGGUUCGGCAUAACUCCCCGAAUGGGGUGCUAAUACCGGAUAAUGUCUUCGGACCAAAGAUUUAUCGCCUUUGGAUGGGCCCGCGUUGGAUUAGCUAGUUGGUAGGGUAAAAGCCUACCAAGGCGACGAUCCAUAGCUGGUCUGAGAGGAUGAUCAGCCACACUGGGACUGAGACACGGCCCAGACUCCUACGGGAGGCAGCAGUGGGGAAUAUUGGACAAUGGGCGAAAGGCUGAUCCAGCAAUGACGCGUGAGUGAUGAAGGCCUUAGGGUUGUAAAGCUCGUUUACACGGGAUGAUAAUGACAGUACCGGGAGAAUAAGCUCCGGCUAACUCCGUG
rnacentral:rRNA from 1 species